GGCCGGUAGGCGGCCGGGCCGCCGUUGCGCGUCACCUCGCGCGUGACGGUGGAGGUGGGGCGUUCGAGGCGCCGGGCGAUCUCC
rnacentral:tRNA from 1 species